UCAAGAACGAUUUAGGAGAACAUUCUUAUGAGGACACCAGAAAUGGGUGGAGUUCGUUCACCGCAUUAUUAGAAGUGCCCAGACAAAUAUUUAAUUGAGCGUGAUUUAUUUUUCUUUGUGUUCUCAAUUGCUCUGAUUUAUUUCCUUAUUGAAAAACAAGAUUUCUUAUUCUGUUAUUGCAUUGAUAUUAAUGAUAGGAUACAUAAUUUCUUAUUUGGGUAAUUUAUUUUUUGGGGGCACAGAUCAUGGUGCUCUACAUAGUUGGCUUAAGAAAGAAGUAGAUAAGUAGGUUUCCAUUGACCAGCUUUGUUGGGAUGUACGAUCAGUUUUUAGAAUAAGCCACCUGGUUGUAAGACUCAGAAAACCAUUGAAGCCAAACAUUUUGUGAAACUAGAGAGUUAUUUUUUAAAAUUCUUACUCAUUCAUGCUCAUAAUAUAAAAUGGAUCUUCCAAACGACUGUCAUUGUUAAAAGGAC